rnacentral:rRNA from 1 species
GACGAACGCUGGCGGCGUGCUUAACACAUGCAAGUCGAGCGGUAAGGCCCUUUCGGGGGUACACGAGCGGCGAACGGGUGAGUAACACGUGGGUGACCUGCCCUCAGCUCUGGGAUAAGCCUGGGAAGCCGGGUCUAAUACUGGAUAUGACUCCAUGACGCAUGUUGUGGGGUGGAAAGCCUUGUGCGGCUGAGGAUGGGCCCGCGGCCUAUCAGCUUGUUGGUGGGGUGAUGGCCUACCAAGGCGACGACGGGUAGCCGGCCUGAGAGGGCGACCGGCCACACUGGGACUGAGACACGGCCCAGACUCCUACGGGAGGCAGCAGUGGGGAAUCUUGCGCAAUGGGCGAAAGCCUGACGCAGCGACGCCGCGUGAGGGAU